rnacentral:rRNA from 1 species
UACGUAGGGUGCAAGCGUUGUCCGGAAUUAUUGGGCGUAAAGAGCUUGUAGGCGGUUUGUCGCGUCUGCUGUGAAAUUUCAGGGCUCAACCCCGAACUUGCAGUGGGUACGGGCAGACUAGAGUGUGGUAGGGGAGACUGGAAUUCCUGGUGUAGCGGUGAAAUGCGCAGAUAUCAGGAGGAACACCGAUGGCGAAGGGCAGGUCUCUGGGCCACUACUGACGCUGGAGGAAGCGAAAGCAUGGGGAGCGAACAGGAUUAG